rnacentral:pre_miRNA from 1 species
AUGAGCAACAGCCCCAGUGGCGGGGCAGCUCUGGAAACCUGGAUUCAGCUCCGGCAGGAACUCCGUCUGCAGGGCCUGGAGGCUCCAGGGCGGG